rnacentral:rRNA from 1 species
AUUGAACGCUGGCGGCAGGCCUAACACAUGCAAGUCGAACGAGUGGCGGACGGGUGAGUAAUGUCUGGGAAACUGCCCGAUGGAGGGGGAUAACUACUGGAAACGGUAGCUAAUACCGCAUACCAUCAGAUGUGCGCAGAUGGGCUUAGCUAGUAGGUGGGGUAACGGCUCACCUAGGCGACGAUCCCUAGCUGGUCUGAGAGGAUUACCGGCCACACGGGAACUAAGACACGGUCCAGACUCCGACGGGAGGCAGCAGUGGGGAAUAUGGCACAAUGGGCGCAAGCCUGAUGCAGCCAUGCCGAGUGUGUGAAGAAGGCCUUCGGAUUGUAAAGCACUUUCAGCGGGGAGGCGUUACCCGCAGAAGAAGCACCGGCUAACUCCGUGCCAGCAGCCGCGGUAAUAC